UACAGAGGUCUCAAGCGUUUGUUCGGAUUCAUUGGGCGUAAAGGGUGCGUAGGCGGCGCGGUAAGUCGGGUGUGAAAUCUCGGGGCUUAACUCCGAAACUGCAUUCGAUACUGCCGUGCUUGAGGACUGGAGAGGAGACUGGAAUUUACGGUGUAGCGGUGAAAUGCGUAGAUAUCGUAAGGAAGACCAGUGGCGAAGGCGGGUCUCUGGACAGUUCCUGACGCUGAGGCACGAAGGCCCAGGGGAGCAAACAGG
rnacentral:rRNA from 1 species